UCAAGGACAAUGCUUAAAGUUGUUCCCCAGGUUUUAUGAAACUUUAAGUUUAACUUUAAGUUUAAUUUCCAGGUUUUUUUACAUUUAUGGUUAAUUAUAUUAUUAUUAUUAUUAUUAUUGUCAUUUUAAGGUUGCCGGAAAUGUAGUAGGCAAAAAGUUUUCAAAUAUGACUCCAUAACAGGACGAAGGAUAAAUGAGGGGCAAGAGGAAGUAAGGGUGAAAUGGUUACCUUGCUCUGCAUGUGGAAAAAUCUGGGAGGAGACAUGGGAGCCGGCCUGCCAGUUCUCACCAGGUGCCAACCAUGUGUAAUGUCACACAUUGGUCUGUAAUUCAAUGAGUUAAAUACCUGCUAUGAGAUGUCAAGUUUGCCGUUACGGGCCCAGCCAUCCUGCUUGCGGAUGUGACUACUUUAGAUGAGGAGGAGCCGCGUUACACACUUUCAAUGGUUUCCACCCUAACAUGCUGUCAUGCUGUUUUUUCAUUUAUUUUUUAAGUAUUGAUUUUUGUUAAAAGCUGUGUUCAAAUAAAUCGAUGUAUACCUUUAUUUCUGUUUGUCUUUCCAUUCACCUUGUGGUUUAGCCAAUCAUCUGAAGUCUUCAAUGCAUCAAAUGAUAUAUUG